rnacentral:rRNA from 1 species
AUUGAACGCUGGCGGCAGGCCUAACACAUGCAAGUCGAACGAGUGGCGGACGGGUGAGUAAUGUCUGGGAAACUGCCUGAUGGCGGGGGAUAACUACUGGAAACGGUAGCUAAUACCGCAUACCAUCGGAUGUGCCCAGAUGGGCGUAGCUAGUAGGUGGGGUAAAGGCUCACCUAGGCGACGAUCCCUAGCUGGUCUGAGAGGAUGACCAGCCACACUGGAACAGAGACACGUACCAGACUCCUACGGGAGGCAGCAGUGGGGAAUAGUGCACAAUGGGCGCAAGCCUGGUGCCGCCAUGCCGCGUGUAUGAAGAAGGCCUUCGGGUUGUAAAGUACUUUCAGCGGGGAGGCGUUACCCGCAGAAGAAGCACCGGCUAACUCCGUGCCAGCCGCCGCGGUAAUUC